ensembl:lncRNA
CCCUCUGUCUCUCUCCCUCCCUCCCCGCUAAGACCUCCAGAGGGCAGCGACCCAGAGCUUGGGAGGUGCUGGGCCACACCUGUUGGAUGCGGCUGGGACAGUGCCCCUCCCAGGUGGGCAGAGCCCGCUCCGCUCCGGCGGAACGAGACACGCACUCCAGGAGGCAGAGGGCAGCGCGGCUGGGCCGCGUGGAGGUCCCGCCGCCCCGCCCGCCCGCGGAACCGCCGAGUGUCGGCCGUCGCCGACCGCAGGCUGCAGAAGCGGUUGGGCUGGUGAGCGAGCACACCCACUUGCCCAGCUGCUGAGUCAGGCUGUUCUCGCUCGCGCCCGCCCGCCCGGGACAUUGUGUUCCAGCCCCGGCGCGCUGGCAGCCGGCCCAGGCGCUCACACCAGCCUCCUCGCCCUGUUGGUGCUCGCGGCUUGAGAUCUGUGCGCCGCGUCCCCGAGGUCGCGGCCCUCGGUCCCGCGGCCCCGAGCCUGGGGACGCGGGGGUCCCCUCAAGGCUGCGCACUCACCAGACUCGGGGCCCUUAGACCUCCACUGGUCGCGGAGGCCCCGGCUUGGCGCCGUUGUGGGGGCAGGUGUGGGGGGGCUCCGCUAGGGAGAAGCGACCCCUCGCCCAGGCUGCUGCCGACGAGGCUCCCAAACUCUCGGUGCAGGAGUCUGGAGGAGGCAAGCUGGGGACCCGCCAGUCGCAGACGGGCGCGCGGGGGGGGGGGGGUUCAGUCACGUGGCAACGGAAGCCGCAGUUGAGGGGCCGACUCCAGCGGUCCCCAGGGAGCGUCUCCCCCCUCCCUGAACCUUCACUGAAGCCGGGGCGCGGAGACUCCAGGGGUUCCCAGCGCUGGCAACCCGAGCCAAGCCCUUUGGUACAGCUUGGGAAACCCCGGCAGAACGCUGGGAGCAGGGAGGGUCCAGACACUGGUAGGGUGGGGAAGGACGACCCCAGACUCCCUCCAGAGUCUGACCCUUCCCUUCGUAUAGCCACAAACCCCGAGACUUAUUCGGAGCCGAGAUUUCUCCUGCCCAUCCUUCCGCAGCGCUGGUCCUAAGGGUCCAUGCCCUCCGAACUCCGAGGGGGACAAAGGCUUUACAUGCCAGGGAAGGCUCUGUAGUGGGACGCGCUCCCCGAAAGCCUUGCUUCUCCGACCGGCCCAGCUUCCCAUCUGCCGCCACAUCCCCGCCAGGAGCGCCCUCCUCCGUGCCUGGCCGCCUGUCCAGCUCCUGUUCACCAAGCGCCCUUGAAACAGGGCCAGCCGAAUCGGAUUCCUCUCUCCUCCCAGGCCCAGCACAAUCAGUUUGUACCUUUCCCACGCACAGUGUGUGCCCUGUCUCCUAUUCUAGCUGUCUGUUUACUAGUCUUGUCCUAGCCAGAUUAGAAGGUCCUUGAGGCAGAAACAAAGUCUGCUGCUUCUUUGAGGCCUCUUCCCUGCCCCUCCAAUUCAUCUCACCCAGGCCGCGCCUGGCACCCGAGCUGAUGUUCAAUAAAUAUUGGGUGUAUUGAAAUGAUUUCCUGCCCUCUGGUAGUUGUCAGGCCAGUUGCAGAGACAAACACAGGGUGUGUGGGGUUAAAUAAUAACCGAAGCCAGCAGGUGGGGAGUAUCAAAUGUGGGUGACAAGGGCCGAGGAUUUAGCUCAGUGGUUCUGGCGCCUGCCUUGAAAGCACAAGGUCCCGAGUUUGAUCCCCGGUACCAAACAAACAAAAUAAUAAGUAUGCAAGUUCCCUGACUAUUGGCAUGGAAAAAUAAUUUUGGGGCCAGGGAUUUAGCUCAGUGGUUUCGCCGCCUGCUGCACAAGUACAAGAACCCGAGUUUGAUCCCCAGCACCACCCCCCCAAACUGUGGGUGACAGCUAUGGGGACUCAGAGGGAAGGAGGUGGUGAUUGGGGAGCAAGUUCCCAGGAGGUUCUAGGUCUUGAGCUGACUGUGUAGGAGGAUGGGGAGGGGCCGGGUGGAGGUGACUCAUGGGGGUUGACAUCACCACAAAACAGCCUUCCUGCUGGGUACUUUACAUGCAUUAUCUCUGAUAUUUGGGGCGGGAGGUUUGAGAGGGGGGCAGGGGACAGUGGCCAAGCCUGGCCCACCCAGAGGCAACCAGAGCACAGGGGACAGCCUUGAAUGUCCCUGGGCACUGGCACUGCCUGUUCCCUGGCCCGCCACUCCUACCUGCCACACCCAAGAGGGCCCAGCUCUGCCCAGUUCUGGAUGCACUGCGGUCCCACCCUGGCUAACAACUGGCCCGUGUGACCUCGGGCAAGGCACUUCCUCGUCCUCACCGGUACAGGCUGUGACUCUGGGCAUCAGUGUGAGGCUUGGCACCUCCCCGGAUAGUACCUGGGCUGGUGCAACUGCCUGCCCUCUCCACACACCCUCUGUGUCCUCCCAGCCUAGAGCCCCCGAGAGGAACACUGGGUACAGAGUGUGAACAGGGAUGGCUUCCUGUGGUUGCAGAGGGAGCAGCGGGACUUUCCCUGCAGUGCCUGGGCUGGGGGAGAAGAGGGCCAACCUCCAAGGAACCUCUGCUCUCUUCCCUCCCUCCUCGGUGCUCCCAGCCCUCUAAAAGGCUGGUACAGUUUGUUACGCUGGGGCCGGAAUGUACCGUGUUUCAUAUGGCCUCUGUCCAGUCCUACACUGGCCGCUUUAUAUUUAUACUUCCUGCUCCAGCUGUGGCAUCCUGCUGUCAGUCACCCCUGCUCUCAUCUGCCCACCUCCUGAACGCCCCCAGCAGAUUAUGAAGAGUCUGCAGCCUGGGACUGAAGUUUCUCUGGACCUAGGAGGUUGGUCCUUGUCUCCUUGCUACCUUGUUUGCCCAGCACUUGAGCAAUACUCCUGAGCCCAGCGAGACCAGCGAAGGCUCCUCCUUGGAAGCCACCUCCAGGAGCUGGGCAGAGCAGAGGCCAGCUGCAGGAUGUUCCUGCUCCCAAGCUGCCAGGGACCAAGACAAGCAGGGAGAAGAGAACACGCAGGGACUUGGAGGGAAAUUCCUCCGGCCGUUGGGCCACACCCGCCCUAGAGGACCUCCCGAGCUCUUCGGGCAGAGCGGAAGCCAGACCCAGACAGGGACGCUGAAGUGACAAUCCCCAGCCCUGUGUGGGCCAGGAGCCCCUGAGGGGGAGGGGCCACGGUGCUCUCCCCACCCCAGAGCCAGGCGUGGGUUGCAACAGAGGCUUCUCCAGGGAGGCUUGAGAGGAAGUUCAGCCCAAGCGGGAGCCAAGCCUGGGCCCAGCAGGGAGAGCUGCGGUGGGUACAGGACUGAGGAGGACACCACUGUGCGAAGACUGGCCUCCUCUCACCUGCCCCGUCCUGCACCCCCGGCCCGGAACUUUGUGCCUUCGCCCGCUGCACUCCUACCAGCACGGAAUUCCGAGCCACACCGAGCUCCUCUCAGCCGGCCCCACCUGCGAGUCACGUUCCUGCCUCGCCACGCAGUUAUCCCCUGGGCCUUUGUACCUGCUUUCCUGGCGCCGGGAAUGCCCUUCCCCCAUUGACCCAGCAAGGACCUUGUCACUUUCCAGGUGAGAGGCUUUUCUUGGUCUCGAUGUGCGCACAUUUUAUAGUAGUGCUUACAGUAAUGACUAAAAGCCAACAUUCUGCAGGCACACCACGUGCUGUUCCGACUGCUCUGUGUGUGUGUGUGUGUGUGUGUGUGUGUGUGCGCGCGCGUGUGCACCCAUUACAUUUUUGUCAGCUUAUUUAACUGUCAUAACAACCCUAAUGGGCACUAUUGUUAUCAUCUCCAUCUGACAGAGAGGAAAAUUGAUACACCGAGAGUGGGGUUACCAUUGACAUAGGGGGACAGGUCAAGUAAGCCGGGUUUCCGCACAACCAGCUCAGUGGAAAGGUCUGGGUAGCUAACCACUGCACUGCACGGCCUCUAGCUGUUAGGAGCUUUUACCAAUUUACAUACCUCUGAGAAAGCAGCAUCAGAUAAUGUCUGGUAACUGAGUGAAUUCAUAAAAUGUAAUAGAAUAAAGAAGUAGGGCUUAUCUUCGCUUGUGUAAGAUAUCUGCUAUGUCAACACUAUGUUUUUUUCCUAGAACAUAUAAUAUGUUAAAGAAAAUAAAAUUUGAGAUUAAAAUCCUAUGUAUCUUUUUGCUUUUUAUGUGUAGUGGUGGUGGUGGUAGGGUACUAGGGAUUGAACCCAGGACCUUUGCCCUGAGCUACAUCCCCAGGCCCCUUUCUUUUUCCCAGUACCAGGCACUGAACUCAGGACCUUACACUUUCGAGGCAGGUGCGGCGCCACUGGGCUAAAACCCCAGCCUCCGGGCCCUUUUUUAUUGUUUAUUUUGAGACAGGUCUUGCUAAGUUGCCCAGGCUGGACUUGAACUUUCCAUCCUCCUCCAGAUGUGCACCACCCUGCCUGGCUCCACCUGCUCUCUUUCCCCUGCCCACGUAUACCCAGUAAACUGAAACUGGUCUCUUGGCAGGAGAUUGGCUUUGCCCUGUGCCCACAGGGCCUGGCUGAGUGCUGCUGGGCGUGCACAUGGCCCAGGGCCAGUUCAAUGUGAGCGGAGCCAGGUGCUGAUUUUAGGGCUGGGUCCUGGGGGUAGCAUGCAGCCCUGGUGUUGCCAAGAUUGGGGAAUGCAUGACAGCAUAGGAACAGCCCCACGGUCUCUGGAGCCAGGCUGGGACAGAAUACAGAGUGGGCUUCUUGUGGUGAAGGGGCAGGUGGAGCAGGGACUGGCUCACAAAACAGAGCCUGGAGGCAACGUGAUGGCCACACACAUAGCCCUGGCUCCCCAGGAGGGAUCUAAAAAGCUUGAAGAUGGCCUGAGCCCAGGAGUUUAGAGCCAGCCUGGGCAACACAGUAAAAUC